AUACGGAGGAUCCGAGCGUUAUCCGGAUUUAUUGGGUUUAAAGGGUGCGUAGGCGGUUUGCUAAGCGGGAGGUGAAAUGCCGGCGCUCAACGUCGGAAGUGCCUCCCGAACUGGUGGACUGGAAUGACUCUGCCGUGGGAGGAAUGUGUAGUGUAGCGGUGAAAUGCUUAGAGAUUACACAGAACACCGAUUGCGAAGGCAUCUCACGAAGGGUUGAUUGACGCUGAGGCACGAAAGCGUGGGGAUCAAACAGGAUUAGAUACCCUGGUGGUCCACGCAGUAAACGAUGAUGGCUAACCGCUGGGCUUAUCAGUUCAGUGGCCAAGCGAAAGCGAUAAGCCAUCCACCUGGGGAGUACGACCGCAAGGUUGAAACUCAAAGGAAUGGACGGGG
rnacentral:rRNA from 1 species